rnacentral:rRNA from 1 species
GACGGGGGGUCCUAGCGUUGUUCGGAAUCAUUGGGCGUAAAGCGGGCGUAGGUGGCUAUGUAAGUCAGGAGUGAAAGCCCUGGGCUCAACCCAGGAAGUGCUUUUGAAACUGCGUAGCUUGAGUGUGGAAGAGGAUAGUGGAAUUCCUGGUGUAGUGGUGAAAUACGUAGAUAUCAGGAGGAACACCGGCGGCGAAGGCGGCUAUCUGGUCCAACACUGACACUGAGGCCCGAAAGCGUGGGGAUGCAAACAGG